AGUUGGUAGAAAAUUAAGAGACUCCUGCAUAGUUUACUAGAUACUGAGUCUGGCCAAAGUUGGUAGAAAAUUAAGAGACUCCUGCUAGAUACUGAGUCUGGCUCUCAAACCUUUUAAAUAGUCCUAAUGAGGGAUAUGAUAUUUGCUGGAGGGGUGUUGGACAAUAAAUCCCAGAAUUUUUCAUUCUGGGAGUCUCACCUGACAGAUGGGGUGUUGGACAAUAAAUCCCAGAAUUUUCCAUUCUGGGAGUCUCACCCAGUGUGGCUCACCUAACCUUUGUGGCCUAGCAUAGCCUUGCUCUUCCUAGCUUCCAGUUCAAACAGGAAGCUCCCCCAAUGCAUGCUGGGAGAUUUUUGAGCAGGAAACUGGGUGAAGUGAGGGUUAUGCAAGGCCAUUAAGCCUUCCAGCUUUGGCUUUUACUUCCAGGUGAAUCACAUUUAGAUGUCUGUAGUUUUCUAUCUGCCAGGUGGGUCUCCCAGAUGGAGAAUUUUGGGAUUUGGAGUCCAAGAAGACGAAGAAGAUGAUGAUAAAGAAUGGCUAUAUACAAACCUGCCUGAUACCAGAGUUACAUCAAUGAGCACUUUUUCAAAGAACUUGGAAAAUUUAAUUUUUGGAGCUCCUGUGAAACAGCCUUCUUCAGUAUGGGAAGAAAUAUGCAACCUUAAUACUACCAAGGAGAAACACCGUUGUGAGUCAUUCCCAAUAAAUAUACAGAGAAUUGGGCUACAGACUGUAUGGCUCUACAGGAUGCUGGGAAGACUUUCUGUGGCCCUUUGGACCUCUUGCUGA
rnacentral:lncRNA from 1 species